GCCACCUUAGCUCAGCGGUAGAGCAGCUGUUUCGUAAACAGCAGGUCGCGGGUUCAAAUCCCGUGGGUGGCU
rnacentral:tRNA from 1 species